GAUGAACGCUGGCGGCGUGCCUAAUACAUGCAAGUAGAACGCUGAAGGAAGGAGCUUGCUCUUUCCGGAUGAGUUGCGAACGGGUGAGUAACGCGUAGGUAACCUGCCUGGUAGCGGGGGAUAACUAUUGGAAACGAUAGCUAAUACCGCAUAACAGUAGAUGUUGCAUGAUAUCUACUUAAAAGGUGCAAUUGCACCACUACCAGAUGGACCUGCGUUGUAUUAGCUAGUUGGUGAGGUAACGGCUCACCAAGGCGACGAUACAUAGCCGACCUGAGAGGGUGAUAGGCCACACUGGGACUGGGACACGGCCCAGACUCCUACGGGAGGCAGCAGUAGGGAAUCUUCGGCAAUGGACGGAAGUAUGGCCGAGCAACGCCGCGUGAGUGAAGAAGGUUUUCGGAUCGUAAAGCUCUGUUGUAAGAGAAGAACGAGUGUGAGAGUGGAAAGUUCACACUGUGACGGUAUCUUACCAGAAAGGGACGGCUAACUACGUG
rnacentral:rRNA from 1 species